GACGAACGCUGGCGGCGUGCCUAAUACAUGCAAGUAGGACGCAGUUGCGAACGGGUGAGUAACGCGUAGGUAACUACCUAUUAGAGGGGGAUAACUAUUGGCAACGAUAGCUAAUACCGCAUACUCGUAGAUGGACCUGCGUUGUAUUAGCUAGUAGGUAGGGUAAUGGGCUACCUAGGCAACGAUACAUAGCCGCACUGAGAGGGUGAUCGGCCAAAAUGGGACUGAGACAGGGCCCAGAUGCCUACGGGAGGCAGCAGAAGGGAAGCGUCGGCAAUGGGGGGAACCCUGACCGAGCAACGCGGCGUGAGGGAAGAAGGUUGUCGGAUCGUAAAGCUCUGUUGUUAAGGAAGCGGUACUUAACCAGAAAGGGACGGCUAACUACGUGCCAGCAGCCGCGGUAAUUC
rnacentral:rRNA from 1 species